rnacentral:lncRNA from 1 species
UUUUUUCUUUUUUUUUUUUUUUCCCACAAGGUUUUCAACCUGCUUAAGCAUCUAUACCUGGAACUGACCCCUAUCCCUAAAAAGCCUCUUUUUUUGUUAGAUCAUAAAUCCGCCUGAUGAAGCGCUUUGUAUGCACUAAGCAAGCAUUCAGCAUCUGCCGAAUUAAAUGGCACUGAGCACACCUGCAGACACUGGAGGGCACCCACAUUAUCUCACAGUCCCGGAGCUGCUCUCUGGGGUGACAGGAAACCAACCCACUCCCUCCUCCCCAUGUGAAGACCGUCCUGUAAAUAAGGAGGUCCCCAAACCUGCCGCCAAGGCCCCGGCGGGCAUGGGGCAUGGGCCAUGGGCCAUAGGAACAUCCUUUCUCUUGAGGCCUUCUCUUGGGGCCUCAGAGCUCUUCCUGAGCCAGCACUGCAGGUGGCCAGGAUCAUGUGAUGGGGUUGCUGAGACACCGAACCCCACCGGCCUUUCCAGCCUAAGUUUUUCUCUCCUGGCCAUGCAUUCCAAGUCGCCUCCACCGUUCCUCACAUGCAAUGACUUCAGAGGCCCCGUGCCUCCGUGUCCCCGGGCUCUCAGUAUGGGAAAGCAGCUUGAGUCCCUCGAAGAUGACAUUCCACGCAGAGUCUAUCCGAGAGUGGAGGAGAGUCCCUGGCUUCCCCAGGUGAGCGCUCCGCUUGCGGGGGUGCAGACCCACGCGGGAGCGGCUGUGCUCCUGCCCGGGGCCACCCCGCCGGUCACACGCACCUGCGGGUACGUCAGCACACCUAGGUUGCCUUUCUACAGUCGUCCCCCCAAACCUUUGCCCAACUCCCUAUUCUAGCCUAUGGUCAUAGGAUGGAUUUUAACCGAAUCAUACUAUUUUACAUCCAAGUAAAUGUAAACGAUGCAAAGUCUAUGAUUCAACAGUGUCUUCUGGCUCUGUGUUUCCAUGUGGUAAGCGGAGCGUCUGUGCCCUUAGAGACGUCAUCAGCCAACAUGUUACUGCGGAUGCGCUUUCCCAGUGGGGCGUGGGAGCCCGCACCUUUGACGUUUGGUCGAGGAAUGUGGCCUGGGCCUCUGCCCAGCAUCCCUUCCAGCAGCGCGAAGCAAAUUCCUUGACCUCCAGAUCCCGUAGGAUGUAAAAGAAAUUUAUCUGUGUUGAAAAACACUCCCCGUAAUUCAAGAAAUAAACAAACACGUGAACAGAUAAGAGAAACUUGUCUGAUUUGGGCAGAGUCUCAGUUUUCAAAAACAGAGGAAGGCAGAAAGAGCAUCGGAAAAUGCAGCAAAUGCUGAUGCCAGCAGCUCCAAGACCAAGACUGAUUGGACACAAUCUCGUGUGGCAAAAGUUGUAUUUUUUAAAGAUUUUAUUUAUUUAUUCAUGAGAGACACACAGAGAGAGGCAGAGACACAGGCAGAGGGAGAAGCAGGCUCCAUGCAGGAAGCCCCAUGAGAGAGAGACUUGAUCCCAACACCCUGGGGUCAUGACCUGAGCCAAAGGCAGCCGCUCCACCACUGAGCCCCCCAGGGCUCCCCAAAAUCCUAUUCAAUGAGUUUCCUUUUUCUUCCUCCUCUUUUUUUAGUACUUUUUUCCCCCUGAAAAGUAGUUUUCUGCACCCGAUCGUUCGUUUGCAUGACACAAAAUACAGAAAAUAUAUGACUUUGGUUAUCUGCUUACUGCAAGAAAUUAGCACUUACUUAACAUAUACUGUUAAAAAAAAUAUACACACGCACAUGUGCACGGGUUUCCACUCCCUGGAACACAGUCACUGACAUCCAAAACUUGGAAAACAUUUAGACAAAAACCCACCAGUAAGUUUCCGGUUGCUACUGCCUAAACCAACUCUAACAUUUCCUAUGUUCCAAACGUGAUUGAUUUUAUGAAAGAAGAAAAUUAUGCAUAAGAAAUUUCAGAACUAAGCCAAGUAAAGGACAUCAACAAUAGGUACCCCCCCCAAAAAAAAGCAGCACUACACUUACUACUUCCAACUUCUACUUCUCUACCAGCAAAACAAGUAAACAUUUUCCCGCAAUUAUGAGGUUUCUUCAUUGUCUACACAGCUCGUCAGAAUCUGAAGCAACUAUUAAUCCACCUAUUUGUUCUUUCAACAGCGUUUGUCAAAGGGCCCCCUCUGCUACCAGCGCGGCUUUGGAGGCUAUUGUGGGAGCACGCGAAAGUGAACUAAACAGAGAUUUUUGUCAUCAAAGAAUUUUAAGCUAAUUUAUAAUUAUCGGUUCCUGGCUCCACUACUAUUACUUGGUGCUGGCUCAGAUUCUAUCUUUAUCUAGUCCAAGGCUGAGGCAGCUCUUAUAAAUUUCCUUCUCCUUGUCUCUUUCCCCCCUUUACUUUCUUGGUGUUUAAAGUCUUGUUACAUAUCUGAUCCUUUAUUUUAUUCUUAAUUUUUCUCAAACCAUUAAAGUCAAAAUUGGAUCUUAGAUCAAAGACAUUCUUAAGGUCUCUCUACUCAAUUUAUUUGGUGUUACUGUGUCUCGGAGAGUGCAAUGAAUUGCCUGUAGCAAGUGAAUAAAAUCAGAACCUUUGUACUCGAUGCUUCGAUACAUAUUAUUAAAAAUAAUAAAUGUCAAAAAAAUAUUGAAAGCCAGCCUUUAUUCCUGGCAGGCUGUUCUACAUUUGGCUACUAUAUUAAAAUGCUAAAAUGACUUGCUGUACCCAUUGAGCUGUGGAUCUGCCAGUUUUAAUAUCUCAUGGACAAUCCCAAAUGCAUAAUAAAUCUCUCCCCCUGCGGCCCCCCUACCCCCGCCAAAUCUGAAGAGGGUGGCGAGCCAAUCCUAGUAGCUGGGGAGACUUACAAGUAACUGUAGCCUGAAAAGAAAUGGCUCAUAUGGCAAAUUAAGCCAUUUGGCUU